AACGCAAAUUGCACUCUCUGGUAUUCCGGAGAGUAUGCCUGUUUGAGGGUCAGUUAAAUAAAAAUCGGUGUCGUUGCUGCCUUGCGUGGCGACGCAUCGGAUUUGGGUCGUCUUACCUUCGGUUAAGUGACCUAAAAUUUUGCAUGAUUUUUCGAACGUAUUUAAAUUAUUUACGUACGUUUGUGAUAAUCGAACAUUAGGUGUGGUCAUUCUCAUGAUUCGCGCCUAUGAUUUCUCAUCAAAAUGACCUCAAAUCAGGUAAGAGUACCCGCUGAACUUAA
rnacentral:misc_RNA from 1 species